rnacentral:rRNA from 1 species
GAUGAACGCUGGCGGCGUGCCUAACACAUGCAAGUCGAGCGGCAGCGCGAGUAGUUUACUACUUGGCGGCGAGCGGCGAACGGCUGAGUAACGCGUGGGAAUUUGCCCCAAAGUGAGGAAUAACUGCCCGAAAGGGUGGCUAAUGUCGCAUAUGAUCUUCGGAUUAAAGGAUUUAUCCGCUUUGGGAGAAGCCCGCGUCGGAUUAGGUAGUUGGUGAGGUAAUGGCUCACCAAGCCGACGAUCCGUAGCUGGUCUGAGAGGAUGACCAGCCAGACUGGAACUGAGACACGGUCCAGACUCCUACGGGAGGCAGCAGUGAGGAAUCUUCCACAAUGGGCGAAAGCCUGAUGGAGCAACGCCGCGUGCAGGAUGAAGGCCUUCGGGUUGUAAACUGCUUUUAUGAUUGAGGAAUUUGACAGUAGAU